UAGCAGUUGUCCUUAGACCUGACUCCUUUCAUGAUCACUUCAUUUUCUUUAUUAGUAAUCAGACAUUCGGUUUUUGUGAAGUUUACAGUUAGACCUUGGUCACAUAGUUGACUGAUGCUGAUUAGGUUUGCAGUCAAUCCUUUAACAAGUAGGACAUUGUCAAGGUUAGGGACUCUAGGGCAGUUUAACUUUCCAAUCCCCUUGAU
rnacentral:lncRNA from 1 species